AUUGAACGCUGGCGGCAUGCUUUACACAUGCAAGUCGGACGAGUGGCGGACGGGUGAGUAACGCAUCGGAACGUACCGAGUAGUGGGGGAUAACUGUCCGAAAGGAAAGCUAAUACCGCAUAUUAUUCGAGCGGCCGAUGUCGGAUUAGCUGGUUGGCGGGGUAAAGGCCCACCAAGGCGACGAUCAGUAGCGGGUCUGAGAGGAUGAUCAGCCACACUGGGACUGAGACACGGUCCAGACUCCUACGGGAGGCAGCAGUGGGGAAUUGUGGACAAUGGGCGCAAGCCUGAUACAGCCAUGCCGCGUGUCUGAAGAAGGCCUUCGGGUUGUAAAGGACUUUCGUCAGGGAGGCGUUACCUGCAGAAGAAGCACCGGCUAACUACGUGCCAGCAGCCGCGGUAAUUC
rnacentral:rRNA from 1 species